GUUUAAUUGCAAUGUAGACAUACCCUUACAGAACUCUCACUUUAUAACAUCUAUAAAAAGCUCCUCCAGCCUUGAUGCCAUGGUCUGAACUCCAAGGGAGAGACUGAUCAUCCUCUGCUGCUGCUGAGGAGGAACAAAUUUGACCCUUUCAAGUGCUCCCUGGGCAGCGGGUAAAGAAUGUUUAUGGAUGCAGGUUAGAGCUGAUUGACCUCGCCUGGGAGAAUCCCUUCUGUCCUUGCAAGAUGCUGAUCUUUUAUCUCUGAUCUUUUAUCUCUGCACUUGCCUUCAAGGCCCUUCACAAGUGAGUUGCUCCCUAUUUAUCUGUCCCAGUUUCUUACCACGUUGCCCCUUCUGCCCUGUCUGCUUGGUCAAUGGUGCCAGCCUUAGCUACCUGAUUCUCCUACAACCAUUUCUUGCUGUCCCUUACACUAGGAACACCUCACUGGACUAGACGAUAAGCUCUCCACCCCAAUCUCCGCUGCUGCUGUGUGCCUACGUAGUUAAUGGAAAGGGGAGCACAGCCAUCUCCAUGAGGAACUUAUGUCUCCUGGAGCUCCACCUCCUCCUAUCUCCUUUCUAGCUGAAGAAACCAGGACUCAUGAUGCAAAAGAAUCUGAAGAAAGAGCAGGGGCUGGCACCUGGCUAUGCUGGUGCUGCCAGCCUUUCUUACCUUUGGAUGGACGAGCAACAGUUCUUGCUUAAUGGAAAAAGAAAAGGUGUCCCAGCUGGGAGCCACCUUUGCAGGAAGCUGUCACACCCACUGCUUCUGCUGCCCCCCCACCACUGCCAAUGGGACAGGGGACGGAAACCUCCCACCCAUCCCUGCCCCUCCAAACCAAAUGAUCCAUGCAUGUUGCAUAUCAUCUCUUUUUAAAUGUCUUUGCAUCUUCUCAAA